CUGUUGCCCCUCCCCCCCUCCCCCAGGGCACAUGGGGCACGUCCCGCCGCCCCACGGGGAAGGAGUCGCUGGAGCGAGAGGCGCGGGGCUCCGGACCCCGGCAGAGUGUUUUCUUCCUGCAGUGUCUAGCCCCCAUCACUGGACACUCUCAGAAAUUACCAGAAAUUGUUCAUUGUGGCCAUGGAAGACUAUCAACACCACUCCUCAGUUGGCUGGAGAGGUUGAUGUUGACCAAAGGCCCCAUCUUCUCACCAGCGCUGCACGAACCAUCACCACAGCCCUUCUAUGAGGUAUUUUAAUCUUCUAUAUUGGCCUGAUUUCCCUAAUCUCAUCUCAACAAACAGGAAAUGAUGCUAUCCACCCCUUGUUAGCUCCAGGGCAGGGAAAGAUGACCUUGGAGGAAGUGAAUGAUGGGAAGGGAUAGGAAGAAGGGCAUUUUCCUCAGUUCUGCUGUUUUUUCCAAGGAUAAACUAAAUAUCCUAUAUUCACACGAGUUUAAAAUAAACUACGGUGUGUAAAUUGGCACAUACAAACUGUCAAGAGAAGGUCAGUGUGUAGGAUAAUGAAGUUCGAGACACCAGACUAUACAGUCAGAAUGUAGAAAAGUGAAUAUACAUUCUGGAGUGUCUGAAGGACUGUGGGUCCUGUUACGUGCGGAAUAAUGCAUAAAGAGUUUAGUAAUGGCAUAGCCAGACAAACUUUCUAUGUGUUGAUCAAAGACUUUCUACCAAAGGAAGAAUAACAAAAGAUUGACCUUCCUGUUUUACCAAGUGUGUCCAGCUUUUCCAAAGGAAAUUCUUGGUCUUAACUUCCUUGUGUAUUUCCUUACCACUUCCUUCUAGCCCGCACUGUUUUAAAAAUGAAGUCUGUGGAACAAAUUACCUACUUAAUAAUGAAAUAAGUGCUUCACAUUUGAAUAAGAUAGACUUGUGUCCUAGUGUCGGUGUGUAUUUUAAUUAUAAAUAGAGCACCAAUGUUUACCAUAUGAGGUAGGGGUUGCUAUGGUACGUAUCCAUGUUUAUUAAAUAGUAAAUAGCAGAGUACAUUUUUUGGAAUUGUCUCCCUCUGGGAGAUGCUUAUUUUCAUAAAAGGUCAAACUGCACAGUGUUAAAUGCAUAUAUGUAAUUACACUAACAGCUUCUGUGGAAAAUGAAUGGGACUUUCUUACCUCUUCAUUAUUCAGUAAUGAAGAGGUAAGAAAAAUUCCAAAAUAUUCAUAAUAGAAAUGAUAUAUAUCCUUUUCAGACUUUAAAGUCUGAUUAACUCUGCUAAAGCUGUCCCCAAGCUCACAGGAAAAAGGAGGAGGCUUGGCUAUAAGGUAAUCCCUCACUUCGUAAAUUCAACAAUUACUAUCUAAAUGAUAGUGUGAUGGGGUGUCUACCCCAUAUAGGUGUAAAAGGAUUUACUUCCGAGUGUGAGCAGUGGAGGUGAGUCCUCCAAGCAGCCCAGAGAGGCUGUGUUGGGCACAACCAAUCAGGGCCCAGUGGGCUCACAUAAAAGAAGCUGCUCGGAUGGAGUAGGCAGUGGCUGUUGGGAGCUCAGGAGUCAGGAAUUUGUCUCUAGCAGGCUGAGAAUCCUGUGGCACCAUGGACAGAGUAGUUGCUGGCAGGGAGCAGGGGAGCAAGAGGGAGUUACUGGCUGGCUGCUAUGACUGACAUGCUGAGGCCCUGAGGUAAGGGUGAAGAAGGUGGCUCAGGCAAACCUAUUGAACUGUUGGAGGGGACACAGCACGUGGUUGCCAUCUACAAGGUCUCUGGGCUGAGACCAAAAGUAGUGGGUGGGCCUGGGUCUCCCCCACUCACCAUUGCAGGAGUGGCUGGACUAUUAGAAUAAGAUACUAACCCCCGGAAGGAGGGAACACAGAUGUUGACACAGCUAAAGGGCUGAGUCGUGAAAAGGCGCUGCGGUUCCUGGUGCUGUGAGAGGGGCUGCAGUCAAACUCAGACAGAGAGUGGUGGCGUGCAAGCUGCAGACAGGGGCACCAGCCUCUAGCUAAUCCCCAGAGUGACCAGGAGGAGGUGCCAAUCCAGCAGUGAGAGAUGUGCCCCGUGACAGAUAGUGCUAUGAGAAGCUGAUCUGGGUGAGGACUAAGAGCCUAUUAUCUAACUGAAUAUAGAAGAGCAAUCAAACCUGAAAGGAAGCUCUGUACUUAGGGUUUAAUCCUACAAAUCCAUACUCAUGAGUGUGUUCCCAUUGACCUCAGUGAGACUAUCUGUGCAAGGGCUUACAGGAUUGGGCUUUGAUGAGGUUAGUACUCACUUCCAAGGAAAGAAUGAAACCAGGAUUCUGGAUGGCUCUAGCGUUUGGUAAUAUGACACAAAGCCUUUCACCUGUAGACCACUGCUUUGAAUCUGUCACAGAUGAUUGAAAGUCUUUGCUAUAAGAAAUUUCAUACAAGAAGUCCCAAACCAUGUUGGAAGAACAGUUAUGUACUUAAGUUAGGAAACGCCAAAAUUAAGGUUGUCGCUCAACUUUAAUUCUGCCCCCUUGUGCCAAUGCCUUACAAUGAAGUCUUUAAUUAUGGGAUCACAUAUUACUUCUCAGACAGUACAAUAUAUCAAAUGGCUUUUUCAUCUGCAGAAAUCUUGCCUUGUUCCACAGGAAUCCUAUUUCAACCUCAGUGCACCUAAAAAGCUGCACAGAGACUAAGUCAAGGAACCCACAAGCUAAGCAAGUAUUUAAAUGUGGCAUAGCACAUCAUGUCAUCAUGAUCAAAAUUUAGCUCAGUUGAAAACAUCUUUCAUGAAACCUGAUAUAUGUGAAAAUACCAGACCAAAAAGGAUGUUUGUAUUUGAACUAUGGAGAAACUUCAGUGCCUUAAGUAACCUAGAAUGACAAUGUUAGUGAAUGCUAGUGAUGGAUGAAACAGUUUAAAAAACAAAUAGGAUUCAGAGUGCCAUGGGGUCAGCUAACCCCCUUCUUAGCAUUUGGUGAGUCUUGUCUCAAUGUCCCCUCUUGGAUGAAUUCAUAUGCUUCCAGGCAUUUCAAAAUAACUUUCUCCCUCUUAGAGUCUCAUUUAUUACAUCACAAAACAAAAUAUACAUUGACUAUUCCUUUGGCCCUUCCAGCACCGGUACUUCCCCCCAAUUCUCUCUUUAACACACAAUUGCUUUCUGUUUUGCAGCACUGGACAUAACAGAACACAGUUCUGUCCCAAAGUCAGGUCCUGUUGGCUGGCCUUUUCUAAAGCCUCCCCUGCAGGUAUCUCCCCAGCUCUCUUCACUAGGAGCCAUUUGAAUCUUGGCAAGCUUCCUUAGCCUACCAGUAUCCUGGCUAAUGUUAGAGACUCUUCCUGCUCCUUGUAGGUUUCCUCUUCUGUGUGAACAGGUAGCCCCUGUACAGGCUGGGCUUGGUCACCUGACUUGUGCACAGGCCUGAGUUUUGAAACAGGACGCUGAAACAUGCACAAGAAACCUUGGUCCUUACACUAGUUAUGAAUAAACCAUGAAUAAUGGAUACUAAUAUAUUGAACAGACAGUAGUCCAAUAUGAGCCUUCUGUUGGAGUAGGUAGGAUUCAGGUAACAGAUACACUUGUUCUCUGUAAUAGUAUUGGAAAAUAAAAAGUGUCAGUGAAGCCAUAUUGUGCGCUAUGAGAAAGAAUGCAUUUGUAGGUAGAGGACAGCCUAAACAUCCUAUGAUUACUUGGAUUACAAAAAGCCAGUGAAUAGCAUCUAAAGCUUUUAUAGAACUGUAGCAUACAGGAUGGCUGUUUGCUGGUGUAUAGGAAAAAUUAGUAGGCUUAAACUUUGGUCAAGAGAACUGUGUACAUGGUCAGGUGGCUAAAGGAGAGAGAGGAAAAUUACUAACAAGACACAAUUGCAACAGCUAAUCUAGCUCAAUGUAACUGCAAUAACUAGCGUUAGGAAAGCCAUUAACUUCAAAAGAACAACCUGUAAAUAACAGGAAAUGCUUGUUUUUGCUGUAUUCCUAAUAAGGGAAAAUAUUAAUAAAGUAUGUGUAACUAAAUGUGGUUUUCAUCUAUAUAAUCUUGUGUGUUCCCUUUCUCGGGAGAGCAGCUAAACUGGCUGGCUCUCUCUGCAUGCUUGUAAUAAAGGAGCCUCAGGCUGUUCUGAUCCAAACACAACGCGUGGUAAUUUUUCCACAACAAUUCUUGUUGCCGUGACUCGGAUCCACGGCAUGCCACUGGACAGGAGGACUGCAGACCGUUCCCCACUGGACCCAGGCGCCGUCUGAAAGGUCAUAUGCUACUGUAUGUAUGCUUUUUCACUUCUUCCUUCCUUCUCUUCCUGAAUGCUGUCCUUAUCUAGGAAAUUCCCCCUUGCAAAGCCAGACUACAAUGCUUCCAGCAUGCCAUGCAUAUCUUACAUACUGUCCCAAGAGUCAGCUGCAGAAUUGCCAUUUGUCUGUUGUCAAAUCAAUGAAAAUAGAUUUUCAGUCCUCCAAAUAUGAAUAAUAUCAGUUCUUGAGCUGUGAUUGGCUUGAUUAGCCUGUUCUGCAUGUGCCAGGAGAAAACGGAGGGGAUGGAGCUUCAAAAAUAUGGCUAAAUAGUUUGCUGCUCCUAUUAAACCAAAUAAACCAGUUCUGAAUCCACUCAUGGAUUUCAGAGGAAAGUUCUCUGCCACUGUUAGGCAAAGGCCAAAUGCUACAAUUCUCUGAUGUUUAACAAGAAUGUUCAGAAGACUGGCUGGAUGGAGGCAUUCUGAGACCUAGCAGUUCUGGGUCUUUGAUGAAAAUGUCCAUGAAGUAGUUGAUAACAUUUCAUUCAACUUCCUCUAUUCUUUCCUACUUUCUUUACCGUUCUACUUAUUAUAGCAUGAUGAGUGGCAGUCAGUGGCUCUGAGGAUUGGGAAAUUCUGGGAGCAGGCAGCAGAAACUUCUCUUCACUUGCUGCUGAUGAGAAAAUUGGUGAUUCAUUAUAGUAUGCCUUGUUGUGAAGUAUCCUGGCCUUUAGAAAUUGUUGCCUAAUUUAAUAGAAAAAGCCAUUCUCUGAAAUGAAAUGAAAUUUGAUUCACUUUGUCUGGAAGAUAUUCAUGUUUAGCUAAUUGUUGCUAUUGUAUUUAUGUAAAGGUUAUGCCAAGCCUGGAAGAGGGUUGUAAGGAAUAUGGGUUGUAAGAGAAACUGGUUAUGCAAGAUCAGUUGCUUGAUUAAAGGCAUGCUGAAUCCAACAGUUGUUUUAUAUCUGUCACUGAUAUAUAGUUCAUGAUGAUCAUAUUGGUGUUGAUGGUGGAUUAAUUCCACAGUGACUCAUCAUCUCCCUCCUUGCUUUUUAUCUGCACCUUCUGUGGCUGUUCCUCUUUGACUUUAUUCAUUACUUGGCAGUGAACAUUGUAGUGAAAAUGUUGAUAUAACUCUUGAGGUGUAUUUUCUGCAUGUUGUAAUUUCUGCACUCACCAGUAAAAUAGCAUCUGUAGGAAGCAAAUAUGCAGCCCAAUGACAAAAUGGUAACUGUAGUAGCAAACAACCAACCCCUGGACAACAACUCACAAGGCAAUUGAUGCUAUGCAUAUUAGAGGAGCUUACUCUUCCAUUGUACAGACCAACUGUUUCCAGUAAGCAGCCCGUGGGGUCAUCAGAAUUACACUGGGCAACGAAAUGGCACCAGUAGGGGAACAGACAUGUGUAGAUGCAGCAGAUCACAGCUACAUACAAGCAGGCCUAGCUGGAGCAGCAAUAGCAAGAGAGGUAUGGGAAAUCUAUCAGCAGCAGGGCCGGCUCCAGGCACCAGCUUAACAAGCAGGUGCUUGGGGCGGCCAAGG